UCGCAAUAUACCGGUAUUGACGAUAACCGUGAUAUUCAAAGCAUGAAAUAUCGAUAUCGUGUUAAUUUAGGGUGUGAUGAUAUAUCGGUAUUGACGAUAACCACAAUAUUUAAAAUGAAUAGGACGCUUAUGAUAUCAUGACAUGUAAAUACUCCAGCGCCAGUACCUGGUUGAGCUCUCAGGUGGCAGUAUUGCACCUUAACGCUGACACCUGUCAAACAAGAAGAAGAUGCAUCGCGCGCAGCUAUUCCGAGCGGGAGAGUGAGAGGCUCUGUCCACACCCGAAAAAAGUAAAUAAGCUCGACAGUAUGGGAGUUUUUCGGUUCCUUAGACAGUCCGAUCCGCAGGAUUUGCCUAGCUACAGUCAGUGCGAAGGGUGGAAACACCACCAACCUUUUUACCCACCUCCGUGUCCAUCACCCUGCGGAUUACGCCAUUUUACAGAGAACUCUUGGUGGCGUGGAUGUCUCCCGUUACCUCGUUGAUGAUGAAAAUACUUCCUGCUCCUUCACCACUAAGGAUGUACCUGACCGAACCAUCGCCUUUGUCUGAAUUAGAAUGCAGCUGAAAUGAGAGACAAAGAAACAUUGAAGAAAGAAACUCAUACAGGUUUGCAACAACAUGAGGGUGAGUAAAUUUUUUGAUGAACUAUCCCUUUAAUUGCACAGGGAUAGUUCAUUAUAUUACAGUAGAUGUUUUAGCAGUUACAACCAGUAAACCAUAUAAGACUGGUUUAAGCUGUUUGAAACUUUAUUUCAAAAUAAAGGUACAUAACUAAAAGCUUGCUAGAAAAAUCACUAAGAAAAAUAUGGCAGAUUUCAAAUCGCAUACUUCCUGCGAUAGCCAAGCAACUGCUAUUACGAUGCAUGUGAAUGCUAACGGAUAUCUUUCUCCAGGUAUGAUAACCAUGCUCAUUUCCAGCAUAUUUUGGUGUCCUUCCUGACCGCUCACCUUCAUAAAUACAAUCAUUCCAACAUGAUUUGAAGGCAGCAAGUAAUAAUGUCUGUCUCUUCUUCUAUCUUUCUCUGUCUGCACGUCUGUCUCUCUUUUCCCUGCAUUACCCUAUGCUUGAGUACCCUGAAUACUGAUCAACUGCCACACAUUUACAUAUUUCUGAAGAUAAGAGAAGUCAGUACACAGACAACUUAACCAGCUUCCUACAGCCUCUUUGUGCAGCGCUUCAGUAGAGAGACGUAAAGCACAUGGACAUGACCUGCUGAAUCAAUCUCCGCUUCAGAAAGAGAGAGAAGAUACACAAAGAGAAUAAAAGGAGGACACUGGGAUGGAGCCAUGCCUCCCCGCUAACAGUCUCACAGUACCCAUUAAACAACGUUUAUUGAAUCAAUUUACAAUGCGUAAUGCAGUUUUUGAGUACUGGGGAGCUCAAGGACAGUGGCAGUGUGUCUUUCAUUGAGCUUCUACUGUUAUGUGAAUGGGCUCUGGUGAUACUGAAUAUCUGUUCAUAGCUGGCAAAUGGAUUCCAAAUUAAAAUGUACAAUCAUCCGCA